rnacentral:misc_RNA from 1 species
GUUAGGGACAAUGAAAUGUUUUGUCUUAUUGAAUAUCAUUUUCUUUUUAAUUUUCUGUCCUGCUUGAGGAUGUAGUUUUAGAGGAAAUGAAUUUGUUGGUAGUCUUGAACAGUUAACAAACUUUUAGGUAAAGUUAGGUUCGUUUGCUCCGUUAUAAAUUCAUACUUUUUAUACUGUGCAAACAUUUUCUGAGUGUAACAUGAGUUAUUCUAGUGUUAUGAACUAGGUUAUGUCAGUUUCUUAACAACCCAUCAAUUAAAUAUCUAUGUUGAUUUCUACAGGGAAGCUGGUCAUCAUUGCUAACAACUGUCCUCCCCUUAGGAAGUCUGAGAUAGAGUACUAUGCAAUGUUGGCAAAAGUUGGAGUUCACCACUACAAUGGCAGUAAGUAGUAGUGGCUUAAUUCCAUGUUUCUUAUGGUUAAUGCCCAGUUUUAUGUUGUGCGCAGCCCGUAAAGAUUGCCUUCCUAAUAACCAUGGAAGCUUUUUGAGUCAUAGCUGUGUAAUAUUAAACUCUGUUUGGGCGUUCUCUCAAGGCUUUUCCUAUUGCACUCUUUUGUAUCCUACAUAUUUUGUUCACAAGGCUUCUGUUUUUCUUUGGAUCCUAAUCUCCUUGCUUUAUGGACCCUUAGAUAAGUAGUUAUAAAAGCUAUUUUUAUCUUGGAUGCUUCAAGAAGUGGAUAUGUCUAAAGACAGUAAUGUGUAGCAUGCACUUGAUUUGAUGCAUGAUGAUAUCGAACUUCAUUGGUUUUCAUAAUCACAGGUUGUAAAAUUUAUGUAGGUUGGUUUUCUGAAUUUUAUAAAAUUUGCUAUAUUUUUCUUGUGCAUUCUGUCAUAGUUUCUGUCAAAAUUUAUGCACUUCUCAUGCACAAGUUGGCAUAUUAACCAUUUCUGUGGCACACAUCUCAUGACACUGCAAAUGGUUGUGAAUUUGAAGCAGCUUCCAUCUUAAGGGCGUGGUUAGGUCUUGGUGUCUGUUGAACAUUAUAGCCUUUUAGGGAUAGACUGAAUGCAACCAUAACCUUCAAACUUGUUGCAUCCAAGUGGCUAUGCAGAUUAUGUGGUCAUAUCAACUAUAUUUUCAAGUUUUGCUUUAAGUUGAUUUGGAGGUGUGUGUUUGAUUGCUCUUAUUUCUUUCUUUUUCUUCUUCUUCUUACCACCACUACAACAGCUAUCACUUUUACUACUAAUACUUCUUUUUACUUGGGAAGGGUUGACGUCAUCUCUGGUCAAUGUGAUAAUUUUUGUUUUUGUUAUUAUUAUUUCAGACAAUGUAGACUUGGGUACUGCUUGUGGCAAAUAUUUCAGAGUGUGCUGCCUGAGCAUUAUG